rnacentral:rRNA from 1 species
CUACGGGUUGCACCAGUGGGGAAUCUUGGACAAUGGGCGCAAGCCUGAUCCAGCCAUGCCGCGUGAGUGAGGAAGGCCUUAGGGUCGUAAAGCUCUUUCGCCAGAGAUGAUAAUGACAGUAUCUGGUAAAGAAACCCCGGCUAACUCCGUGCCAGCAGCCGCGGUAAUACGGAGGGGGUUAGCGUUGUUCGGAAUUACUGGGCGUAAAGCGCGCGUAGGCGGAUUAGUCAGUCAGAGGUGAAAUCCCAGGGCUCAACCCUGGAACUGCCUUUGAUACUGCUAGUCUUGAGUUCGAGAGAGGUGAGUGGAAUUCCGAGUGUAGAGGUGAAAUUCGUAGAUAUUCGGAGGAACACCAGUGGCGAAGGCGGCUCACUGGCUCGAUACUGACGCUGAGGUGCGAAAGUGUGGGGAGCAAACAGGAUUAGAUACCCCAGUAGUC